GCCCAGGUGUUGGAAUGGUAUACAAGUACGCUUGAGGUGCGUAUGCUGAAAGGCGUGGGAGUUCGAAUCUCCUCCUGGGUA
rnacentral:tRNA from 1 species